rnacentral:rRNA from 1 species
UACGUAGGGUGCAAGCGUUAAUCGGAAUUACUGGGCGUAAAGCGUACGCAGGCGGCUAUGUAAGACAGGUGUGAAAUCCCCGGGCCUAACCUGGGAACUGCAUUUGUGACUGCAUCGCUAGAGUACGGCAGAGGGGGAUGGAAUUCCGCGUGUAGCAGUGAAAUGCGUAGAUAUGCGGAGGAACACCGAUGGCGAAGGCAAUCCCCUGGGCCUGUACUGACGCUCAUGCACGAAAGCGUGGGGAGCAAACAGG